rnacentral:rRNA from 1 species
AACGAACGCUGGCGGCAUGCCUAACACAUGCAAGUCGAACGAGACCUUCGGGUCUAGUGGCGCACGGGUGCGUAACGCGUGGGAAUCUACCCUUGGGUUCGGAAUAACUCAGAGAAAUUUGAGCUAAUACCGGAUGAUGUCGCAAGACCAAAGAUUUAUCGCCCAAGGAUGAGCCCGCGUAGGAUUAGCUUGUUGGUGAGGUAAAAGCUCACCAAGGCGACGAUCCUUAGCUGGUCUGAGAGGAUGAUCAGCCACACUGGGACUGAGACACGGCCCAGACUCCUACGGGAGGCAGCAGUGGGGGAAUAUUGGACAAUGGGCGAAAGCCUGAUCCAGCAAUGCCGCGUGAGUGAUGAAGGCCUUAGGGUUGUAAAGCUCUUUACCCGGGAUGAUAAUGACAGUACCGGGAGAAUAAGCCCCGGCUAACUCCGUGCCAGCAGCCGCGGUAAUGUGACUACUG